GUCCACGCCGUAAACGAUGGAUACUAGCUGUUGGGAGCAAUUUCAGUGGCUAAGCGAAAGUGAUAAGUAUCCCACCUGGGGAGUACGAACGCAAGUUUGAAACUCAAAGGAAUUGACGGGGGCCCGCACAAGCGGUGGAGCAUGUGGUUUAAUUCGAUGAUACGCGAGGAACCUUACCAAGGCUUAAAUGUAGAUUGACCGGUUUGGAAACAGACUUUUCGCAAGACAAUUUACAAGGUGCUGCAUGGUUGUCGU
rnacentral:rRNA from 1 species